GACGAACGCUGGCGGCGUGCUUAACACAUGCAAGUCGAACGGAAAGGCCCUGCUUUUGUGGGGUGCUCGAGUGGCGAACGGGUGAGUAACACGUGAGUAACCUGCCCUUGACUUUGGGAUAACUCCAGGAAACUGGGGCUAAUACCGGAUAGGAGCUCCUGCUGCAUGGUGGGGGUUGGAAAGUUUCGGCGGUUGGGGAUGGACUCGCGGCUUAUCAGCUUGCUGGUGGGGUAGUGGCUUACCAAGGCUUUGACGGGUAGCCGGCCUGAGAGGGUGACCGGCCACAUUGGGACUGAGAUACGGCCCAGACUCCUACGGGAGGCAGCAGUGGGGAAUAUUGCACAAUGGGCGGAAGCCUGAUGCAGCAACGCCGCGUGCGGGAUGACGGCCUUCGGGUUGUAAACCGCUUUCGCCUGUGACGAAGCGUGAGUGACGGUAAUGGGUAAAGAAGCACCGGCUAACUACGUG
rnacentral:rRNA from 1 species